GACAGAGGUGCCAAGCGUUAGGCGGAAUCAUUGGGCUUAAAGUGUGUGUAGGCGGAUUGGUAAGUACCUUGUGAAAUCCCCCGGCUUAACCUGGGAACUGCGUCUGAUACUGGACGGCUUGAGUAUGGGAGAGGGAUGUAGAAUUCCAGGUGUAGCGGUGAAAUGCGUAGAUAUCUGGAGGAAUACCGGUGGCGAAGGCGGCAUCCUGGACCAUUACUGACGCUGAGGCGCGAAAGCUAGGGGAGCAAACGGG
rnacentral:rRNA from 1 species